AGAGUGAACGCUGGCGGCAGGCCUAACACAUGCAAGUCGAACGGCAGCACAGGGGAGCUUGCUCCCUGGGUGGCGAGUGGCGGACGGGUGAGGAAAACGUCGGAAUCUGCCUAUUUGUGGGGGAUAACGUAGGGAAACUUACGCUAAUACCGCAUACGACCUACGGGUGAAAGCGGAGGACCUUCGGGCUUCGCGCAGAUAGAUGAGCCGACGUCGGAUUAGCUAGUUGGCGGG
rnacentral:rRNA from 1 species